ACGUUAUGGUAAUAGUCUAUGGUUUUAGUUUAUGGUUGAAUUUGGAUUUGGAACUGGUUCAAUAAAAGAUGGCUACCAAUAAUGUUGUCUUAUAAUUUACUAAUCUAUAAGUUAACAAAUAUGGUGUCACAAGUAUAAAAUAAUAAAUGUGAAAUACCAAAAUGGGUGAGUCAAGUAAAAUUUCACCAGAUGCGGCAAAUUCGCCGGCAUUACAAUGUCCACAACACAAGCAGGGACAUGCUUACUCAUACAUACGACCAUUAGAAUUCACGGAUUCUAUGGAAGAGAAUUGGAAAUUGUGGGUCCAAAAAUUUAAAAUAUUUCUUCUUGCCGAGGACCUUGAAGCUGUUUCCGAUGACCGUAAAACAGCUCUUCUGCUCCAUAACAUGGGUGAUAAGGGUGUAGAAAUAUACAAUUCGUUUAAUUUGGAGCCAAAGCAAACCUUUGUAGAAGUCCUAAAGAAAUUUAAUGCAUAUUUCAUUCCUAAAGUUAACAUCACGAUGCAACGCCACAAAUUUUUUACAAGGGCACAAGGAGCUACAGAGUCCUUCGACGAUUUCCUUACUGACCUUCAGAACAGAAGUAUGACAUGCAACUUCAGUGACAAGAGAGAGGAACUCGUGAGAGACGUUAUCGUCAUAGGUCUAGCUAAUACUGCUAUGAAGGAGAGGCUUCUGCGCACGGAGGAUCUGACGCUGCAGAAGACCAUCACCAUGUGCAGAGCUGCGGAAUUGUCUCAAAAGCAAGUUACGGAACUAACGAAUGAGAUAGGUGCGACCUCCGUGCUCAACGUCAGCACUUCGCCAGUACAUAACGUCAACAAUGUCAAUACUUCAAAAACAAGAAGCGUCAAGACAAGAAAAUGCUAUCGCUGCGGCAAUAACUGGGAUCGCACGCAUCAAUGCCCAGCUAUAGGUUGCAAGUGCCAGAAGUGUGGUAUUCCUAAUCAUUUUGCGAAGGUUUGCAGAAACAAACAGGUUGCAGCCAUAACAGAGAAGCAGGUUGAAGACGACAGCGAGGAGUCCUUCUUCGUUGGCUGUAUCAACAGUGAGUGUGAAUGCGAAUGAAAAUGCAAUCCCCAGAGCCGAUCCACCUCGUCGGGUCCCUAUAGCACUAAGACAGAGCCUUAAGGACGAGUUGGACAAUAUGGUGAGACAGCAAAUAAUCACCAAAAAUGAGGAUCCGAUGGAGUGGGUCAACUCAACUGUUGUAAUAAAAAAAAAGAACAAUAAAAUACGCGUAUGUAUUGACCCUCGGACCCCUCGGUACUUAAAUAAAUUCAUUAUCAGAAAACACAAGCAAUUGCCAACGGUUGAUGACAUACUGGAUAAGUUAUCAGGCUCUAAGUAUUUUUCUAAAUUUGACUGUAGCAGUGGGUUUUGGACAGUACAGCUUGACUCAGAAAGUUCAAAAUUAUGCACGUUUUCUACUCCAUUUGGUAACUACUCCUAUAAACGAUUGCCAUUUGGGCUUUCCGUGUCAACAGAAGCGUUUCAGGAACGCAUGGAAGAGACUUUUAGUGAUAUUGAUAAUGUACAAUUUUAUGUCGAUGAUUUAAUAAUUUAUACCAGCACGGUGGAAGAACAUAAUAAAGUGUUACUAAAUGUAUUGAAAAGAGCUCAAGAAUGUAAUGUCAAAUUCAAUAGGGAGAAGUCCCAAGUUCUGUGUAGAGAAAUUACAUUUCUUGGCAUGAUUGUAAGUGACCAAGGGGUUAAACCUGAUCCAAUUAAAGUAAUGGCCAUUUCCGAAUUAAAAUGCAUUCAUGAUAAGAAAGAACUUGAACGAUUUUUAGGAAUGACAAAUUACUUGUCAAAGUUUAUCAACAAUUACUCGACUAUUACAAGCCCGUUGCGCGAGCUUCUUAAAAAAGACAUAUUAUUUAAAUGGCUUCCUUCUCAUGAAAAUGCUUUUAAUAAACUUAAGGAGGCAUUAACGAACGCUCCCACGCUUAAAUUAUUUGACAGUAAUAAAGAUGUUGUCGUUUCGGUAGAUUGCAGCUCGGAAGGAGUAGGCGCCUGUCUUUUACAAGACAGACAGCCUAUUGCACACGCUUCUAAGGCACUAACUGAAUGUCAGAAAGGUUAUGCCCAGGUUGAACGCGAGAUGUUUGCUAUUGUAUUUGGAUGCAUCAAAUUCCAUAAGUAUAUUUUAGGAAAACAUACCCUAGUUGAAACCGAUCAUUCGGCAUUAGAAAUUUUAUUUAAAAAACCCCUGUCUUUAGUACCUGCAAGACUACAAAGAAUGAUGCUUAAAAUACAAGGGUAUGACAUUACUGUUAAGUAUGUACCUGGAAAACAAAUGUAUAUAUCAGAUUUUCUCAGUCGCUCUUUCCUAGUUGACAAGAAUGAUGAAACGAAGGAAUUUGAUGAAGAGUUCAACAAAGAAAUUGUUUGUCAUGUUGAGGUCAUGAUAGAUUCGUUGCCUAUUUCAAGUGACAAGCGACAACUCAUUGCCAUGAAAACGAAUGAGGAUGCCACAUUGUCCUGUUUAAAAGACUAUAUACAUAAUGGUUGGCCAAAUUCUAAGAAUAACUUAAAUGAAUUAGUAAAACCUUUCUGGAAUUUUCGCAACGAAUUGUCCCUAGUCGACCAGAUAAUUUUAAGAAAUAAUCUUAUUGUGAUACCAGUAGCAUUACAAAAAAUGAUGCUAGAAAUUAUUCAUGAAGGUCACUUAGGAUUAAAUACAUGUCUUCGGAGAGCUAAAAACGUUCUAUUUUGGCCUGGAUUGACAAGUCAAAUUAAAGAACUCUGCAACAACUGUCAAACAUGUGCCUUAUUUAGGAAAAAUAAUACUAAAGAACCAAUUCAAUUUCAUGACAUACCUAGACUACCAUGGCUAAAGUUAGGCACUGAUCUUUUUGAAUUUAAUAAACAAUACUAUCUGGUUGUUGUAGAUUAUUACAGUAAAUUUUUUGAAGUUGCUCGAUUAAAUGAAUUGUCUUCAAGGACUAUCAUCAAUAAUAUUAAGUCUAUGAUAGCUAGACAUGGUUGUCCUUUAGAGAUUGUAAGUGACAAUGGUCCACAGUAUUCUUGUAAAGAGUUUAAAGAAUUUGCGGAUGCAUAUGGUUUUAAGCAUAUUACUUCGUCUCCUGACUACCCAAAGUCGAACGGUUUAGCGGAAUCUUCGGUCAAAAUUGUCAAAUCUAUACUAAAAAAAUGUAAAGAGGAUAACACAGAUCCUUAUAUAGCGUUAUUAAAUUUCAGAAAUAGUCCGAAGGAAAAUAGCCCUUCUCCAGCUAAUCUUUUGUUCAAUCGGAACCUUAAUGACCGUUGUCCUGUGUCUGCAAAUUAUUUAAAGCCUAAAAUAUAUACUAGAAAUUAUUUCUUAGAUAAAGAGUUGCAACAUAAGGUUGAAAACCACUACAAUAAAACUGCUAGACCUCUAAGAGAAUUAGAGAUAGGUCAGGGUAUCAUGUUUAAGAAAAAGAUGUCAGAUGAUCGCUGGCAAAAAGGAAGUGUUGUAAAGAAGGCUGACUUCCCUCGUUCCUAUAUUGUAAAGGAUGAACAAGGUCGCCAAUAUAGGAGAAACAGACAACAUUUGCGUAAUAUAAAUGAAUAUGAGUCAACUAAUUGUACUGAAAAUGAGUCUGUUAAUCCUAACUCUUAUGUUAUAAACUAUGAUAGUAACGAUAGCGACUGUGAAUCCUUUUAUGAAGCAGAAGAAACUGAUGUUCAGGAGCUCAUUGAUACAAGUGAAGCGAGUCAAAGCUCUACUGGAAUCAAUGAUACUCCGGAACCAAAUCUUGAUUUGUAUAAGACGAGGUCUGGCCGAAUAGUCAAGGCUCCGUCGAGACUAAUUGAAUCUUAGUUAUAGUUGUAGUUAUAAUACCUAUAUACUUACUUUACUCUUUGAGUUAUAAUUCUGUGAAGGAGAGGAAUGUUACGUUAUGGUAAUAGUCUAUGGUUUUAGUUUAUGGUUGAAUUUGGAUUUGGAACUGGUUCAAUAAAAGAUGGCUACCAAUAA